rnacentral:rRNA from 1 species
GGUGAGUAACGCGUAGAUAAUCUACCCCCAUAUCUGGGAUAACCAAUCGAAAGGCUGGCUAAUACCGGAUAAUCUUUAUUUACCGCAAGGUAUUAUAGAGUAAAGGUGACCUCUCCAUGGAAGUUGCCGUAUAGGGAUGAGUCUGCGUACCAUUAGCUAGUAGGUGGGGUAAUGGCCCACCUAGGCUACGAUGGUUAGCGGGUCUGAGAGGAUGAUCCGUCACACUGGAACUGAAACACGGACCAGACUCC